CAUGGUUAUCAAUACCAAGCAUUGGGAAAUACAGUGGAGAUUAAAAUGGGAGGAGUUCCCCUCGUGGCUCAGUGGUUAACGAAUCUGACUAGAAACCAUGAGGUUGCAGGUUCAACCCCAGGCCUCGCUCAGUGAUGUAAGGAUACAGUGUUGCUGUGAACUGCCGUGUAGGUCACAAACAUGGCUUGGAUCCCACAUUGCUGUGGCUGUGGUGCAGGCUGGCACCUGCAGCUCCGAUUAGACUCCUAGCCUGGGAACCUCCAUAUGCUGCAGGCGCGGCCCUAGAAAAAGACAAAAAAAAAAAAAAAAUGGGCAUGAUCUUCGUUUAUAUAACCUAGAAAGCUCUAAGCAUAUACUGAAUGACAGAUAAGUGAGCAUUAAUACCAUUGUAACGAUUAGACACGAAGUGCUUCAGUGCGCGCCUAUUACACAUAUAAAGUCUGCGGUGCUUGGCACAAAAUACAUGCUCAGGAAACACUAGGUCAUAUUAUUGCACUAGUUCCAGGACACACACUGCAGGCGGCUGCUCCCUCUCACAGGGCCUGAAGUGUUAAACAGCUUGGCCCUUGGGGUGAUUCGCCCUCGGGGAGCAGGGGACUGAGACCUUCACGAGGGAUUCCCUGGUGGCCUCAGGUGGGAAGGGCAAGCUGUGUGUGGUCCUGUUUGUGUGCUCUGCCCCUUUGGGGUAAAUGCCUCUAUUAAUCUCCCCCUGCCUGGGCUUGAGGGUCAGGUUUCAGGGCCCUUGGCAGAUGUUGUCCAGAGUAGCCCUGUUUCCUUAAUCCUCAGGGCUCCAGAAACUGUCCUUAGAAGAGAGAACAACAGGCCUGCUGAGGCCACCAUCUGUGCAGUCUCGAUUUGCUCCCUGCUUAUCCUUUGGAGCUGGGAAGCCAGAACUGAUUCUUGUGUGGGAGGCAGAAGAGAGGAACUAAGCCAGAGUGUUUCAGAUGAUCUCCCACAAGUCACAUAGCCGACAGUGAAUUUAUUGAGUACCUACUACAUGUCAGAAUUCCAUGUAGCUUCUGCACCCAUCCCUACGGGUUUGACUGAGCUUUCUCCCAGUGUACUUUUUCCUGGUUUGGGCACUCUGUUGACAAAUGCUAGGUACCUUAUCUGAUGCUCCUGAAUCCAUGGGUGAUCUGCAGGCAGCUCACUUGUGAGCUCAAAUUCCACAAAAUGAGCAGCUCUUUCAGGGGACGUUCAUACUAGGGAGAACAUAAGCUCUGACACAAAUCUCUCUAUUGCCACACAUACUACAUUUGAGUAUAGUUACAUCUUCAUAUCUUCGGCCUCCCUAAAGGCAAAGCUGGUUGCUGAAUUCAUGUAUGUGGCUCCAGUGCCUAAUACAAUAAAAGUCUGUUGACUAAAUAAAUGGCUGGAAUGUCUCAAAAAAUAAUAAUAGUACAUUACUGGGGAACUUAUCAUGUUCAGACAUUAUUUCUAGUGCCAUGCUAACUGCAUUGGAGCCUGAGGCAAAAGGAAAAAAAUCAGUAAUGCUGAUCCUGUCUUUACUUAAAGUUUGAUAUUUUGUUCACUGUGGAUUUUUUUGCAUUUAUUUUGAUCUCUUAAAACAUUGCCUUGAAAUAUUAUUAUUACUAUUAUUAUAUUUUUUGCCACACUAGUAGCAUGCAGAAGUUCCUGGGCCAGGGAUUGAACCCACACCACAGCAGUAAACUGAGCCACAGCAGUGACAGUUCCAGAUCCUUAACCUGCUAAGCCAGCAGGGAACUCCAAAAUAUUACUUAUCUUGAUUACUGAGGGGUUUUCUUGUGGCCCCUUAAAUUUAGCACCUGAGGCCAGUGCCUCCCUCACCCUAGUCUCAGUCCUGAUUAUUUAUUUCCAACAUGUAACUCACACCAUAGCAUUAAUUCCUCAUCACAGCAUUCUGAGAAGCUCCUACCGUCAUCGCCAUUUCACAGUUGAGGAAACUAAAGCAAAGACAUUUGAUUAUACCCAAAGACCCACAGCGAGGAGGAGGAAAAUCUGAAUAUGACCCAAGUUUGUAUGGUUUUUGGCUCAGAGCCUGCCUGAGUAA
rnacentral:lncRNA from 9 species